ACGUAGGGAGCAAGCGUUGCCCGGAAUUACUGGGCGUAAAGAGCUCGUAGGCGGGGGCGUGCGUCUGAGAGGAAAUCUCAAGGCUUAACCUUGGGGCUGUCUCAGAUACGGCGCUUCUUGAGGAUGUGAGAGGAAAGUGGAAUUUCCGGUGUAGCGGUGAAAUGCGUAGAUAUCGGAAGGAACACCAGUGGCGAAGGCGACUUUCUGGCACAUUCCUGACGCUGAGGAGCGAAAGCGUGGGUAGCGAACGGG
rnacentral:rRNA from 1 species